rnacentral:rRNA from 1 species
AAGUCGUAACAAGGUUUCCGUAGGUGAACCUGCGGAAGGAUCAUUAUCGAGUUUUGAACGGGUUGUCGCUGGCCUUUCACGAGGCAUGUGCACGCCUGGCUCAUCCACUCUCAACCUCUGUGCACUUUAUGUAAGAAACAGUGUAARCCCGGCCUUCAUGGAUGGGUAACAAGCUGUUUCUUAUGUCUCACUACAAACRCUUCAGUCAUAGAAUGUCUUACUGUGUAUAACACAAUUUAUAUACAACUUUCAGCAACGGAUCUCUUGGCUCUCGCAUCGAUGAAGAACGCAGCGAAAUGCGAUAAGUAAUGUGAAUUGCAGAAUUCAGUGAAUCAUCGAAUCUUUGAACGCACCUUGCACUCCUUGGUAUUCCGAGGAGUAUGCCUGUUUGAGUCUCAUGGAAUUCUCAACCCCUAAAUUUUGUAAUGAGGUUUAGUGGGCUUGGACUUGGAGGUUGUGUCGGCUGCCAGUCGACUCCUCUGAAAUGCAUUAGCGUGAAUCUUACGGAUCGCCUUCAGUGUGAUAAUUAUCUGCGCUGUGGUGUUGAAGUAUUUAUCAGUUCAUGCUUAUAAUCGUCUCUGACUGAGACAAUUAUUUGACAAUCUGAGCUCAAAUCAGGUAGGACUACCCGCUGA